rnacentral:rRNA from 1 species
CAAGGAAUUUUGGGCAAUGAGCGAAAGCUUGACCCAGCGACACCGCGUGAGGGAAUAAGGCCUUCGGGUUGUAAACCUCUUUUCCUGGGGAAGAAUCUCGACGGUACCCAGGGAAUAAGCCUCGGCCAACUACGUGCCAGCAGCCGCGGUAAUACGUAGGAGGCAAACGUUAUUCGGAUUUACUGGGCGUAAAGGGAGCGUAGGCGGUUCCUUAAGUCGGAUGUGAAAUCUUCUGGCUCAAUCAGAAGGCGCCAUUUGAUACUGAGGGACUUGAGAGCAGCAGAGGGAAAUGGAAUCUGCAGUGUAGCGGUGAAAUGCGUAGAUAUUGCAGAGAACACCAGUGGCGAAGGCGAUUUCCCAGGCUGUUUCUGACGCUGAGGCUCGAAAGCGUGGGGAGCGAAGCGGAUUAGAUACCCUGGUAGUCCACGCCCUAAACGAUGUCGACUGGUUGUUGGGGGUUUGACACUCUCAGUAACGAAGCUAACGCGUGAAGUCGACCGCCUGGGGAGUACGGCCGCAAGGUUA